rnacentral:tRNA from 1 species
GCGGGUAUAGUGUAAUGGUAGCACAGCAGCCUUCCAAGCUCCUGGUUCGAGUUCAAAUCUCGAUAUCCGCU